UACGGAGGGAGCUAGCGUUGUUCGGAAUUACUGGGCGUAAAGCGCGCGUAGGCGGCUUUGUAAGUUAGAGGUGAAAGCCCGGGGCUCAACUCCGGAAUUGCCUUUAAGACUGCAUCGCUUGAAUCCGGGAGAGGUGAGUGGAAUUCCGAGUGUAGAGGUGAAAUUCGUAGAUAUCGGAAGAACACCAGUGGCGAAGGCGGCUCACUGGACCGGGUAUUGACGCUGAGGUGCGAAAGCGUGGGGAGCAAACAGG
rnacentral:rRNA from 1 species